GGUGGGUUGGCUCAGUGGUUAGAGCGUAGGUCUCGUAAGAGAAAGGUUGCGGGAUCGAAUCCCGCUAGAGGCUG
rnacentral:tRNA from 1 species